rnacentral:rRNA from 1 species
AGUGAACGCUGGCGGUAGGCCUAACACAUGCAAGUCGAACGGCAGCACAGUAAGAGCUUGCUCUUACGGGUGGCGAGUGACGGACGGGUGAGGAAUACAUCGGAAUCUACUUUUUCGUGGGGGAUAACGUAGGGAGACUUACGCUAAUACCGCAUACGACCUACGGGUGAAAGCAGGGGAUCUUCGGACCUUGCGCGAUUGAAUGAGCCGAUGUCGGAUUAGCUAGUUGGCGGGGUAAAGGCCCACCAAGGCGACGAUCCGUAGCUGGUCUGAGAGGAUGAUCAGCCACACUGGAACUGAGACACGGUCCAGACUCCUACGGGAGGCAGCAGUGGGGAAUAUUGGACAAUGGGCGCAAGCCUGAUCCAGCCAUACCGCGUGGGUGAAGAAGGCCUUCGGGUUGUAAAGCCCUUUUGUUGGGAAAGAAAAGCAGCAGGUUAAUACCCCGCUGUUCUGACGGUACCCAAAGAAUAAGCACCGGCUAACUUCGUG